GAUAAACAGAAAUCCCUUUGUGUUCCAAGGUGAAAGCAUGAAAGGAACCGAGAAAUGAUGCACCAGUUUUCCCCCACCUCCCUUAAAAAGAGAACACUUAUUUGAGCAUAUGAAAGGUGGAUUAAGACGUUACACGGAUCCUGAAGUCCACGUGACCUCCCUCAAUAACCAAGAUGGCAAGAAUCAAGUCCUAGAAGGAACGACUGAAGGAGCUGGGGAGCAUAUUCCAGAGCCCUGGGGUAGCCACAGAGAAGGCCCAGCCUGGAGUUGCCAGAAAACGAGCCGGUGUCAUCCAUAACCAUAUCUCUCCAGAAUUUGCAUUCUAUCCACCGAUAGGGAGGAAGUCCCUGAUGCCCUGCAACAAGGUGGAGUAGUCUCAAGAGAACCCAUCCAUCUCCAUGCCACAGUCUUGGCUGACUUUGGAAUAAUUACUGGGGAAUUCAAGAGCCUUGGAUCCCACCCUAAUGAAAGCAAAUGGCACCAAGUGGUAUGAUGCAGAUGGAGUCUCAGCACAAACAGUCCCGGGCAUGGAAUUACUGGCUAGUCCACAGAAAAACUUUUCCAGGGCAUGUAAGGGAAGAAAAGGAUUUCCAGACUUGGCAGAAAGAGCGUGCAUUUGCUUGGAGGGCUUGCAACAAUGGUUAUAGCGUCUCUCUUCUGCAUCUGAAACAAACCUGGAAAUGUUAUGAUCCUUAUGGACACAAAACCGGAGCACCUGUGGAUGAGAGAGGGGUACCAGCAGAUGUGAGGUAACCUGCAGGUUCUAAAGAUUUCAGAGUGCAAUUAUGGUCCAUUUAAAAUGAACAAGAAUUUCAUGAUUGACUCCAGGGUUGAACUCUGCAGGAUUUAAAAGACUCCCGCUUAUGGUCCUUGGAGGCUAGCACCUCCACUGUCUUCUGUGGAAUUACAGUACUCUUGACUGAUAUCAGGAACUCCAGAUGACCCUACAGGCAAGUCUUUUAUUUCCAUUGGCACAACUUUAGGCAACAGACCUCUGUCUUUCAUUUCUCUGGGGCUGUCAGUUCAGAGGAUGCGUUAGAUAUGCCAAAGGUGAGCGGGUAGGAAAAGUUUGAAUUGCUUCUGCUCUCUAUGUACCUCCUACUGGAUGUUCAGAUCUUACAGUUCUACUGGGAAAUUUAAGGACUUUUAUCAAUUACCCUGAUAAAUAAAUUGAUCAAGACAU